GAUGAAUGCUGGCGGCGUGCCUAACACAUGCAAGUCGAGCGGCAGCGAGGGGUGCUUGCACCCUGUCGGCGAGCGGCGAACGGCUGAGUAACGCGUAGGAAUUUGCCCCAAAGUGAGGAAUAACUGCCCGAAAGGGUAGCUAAUGCCGCAUAUGGUCUUCGGAUUAAAGGAUUUAUCCGCUUUGGGAGAAGCCUGCGUUGGAUUAGGUUGUUGGUAGGGUAAUGGCCUACCAAGCCGACGAUCCAUAGCUGGUCUGAGAGGAUGAUCAGCCAGACUGGAACUGAGACACAGUCCAGACUCCUACGGGAGGCAGCAGUGAGGAAUCUUCCACAAUGGGCGAAAGCCUGAUGGAGCAACGCCGCGUGAAGGAUGAAGGCCUUCGGGUUGUAAACUUCUUUUAUGAGUGAAGAAUAUGACGGUAACUCGUGAAUAAGCACCGGCUAACUACGUG
rnacentral:rRNA from 1 species